rnacentral:rRNA from 1 species
UACGUAGGUGGCAAGCGUUGUCCGGAUUUACUGGGCGUAAAGCGCGUGUAGGCGGCCCGUUUAGUCUGUCGUGAAAUCUCCCGGCUUAACCGGGAUGGGUCGACGGGUACUGGCGAGCUUGAGGGGAGCAGAGGAAGGUGGAAUUCCCGGUGUAGUGGUGAAAUGCGUAGAUAUCGGGAGGAACACCAGUGGCGAAGGCGGCCUUCUGGGCUCUACCUGACGCUGAGACGCGAAAGCGUGGGGAGCGAACCGG